rnacentral:rRNA from 1 species
AGCCCCAGUAAACGGCGGCCGUAACUAUAACGGUCCUAAGGUAGCGAAAUUCCUUGUCGGGUAAGUUCCGACCCGCACGAAAGGCGUAACGAUUUGGGCACUGUCUCAACGAGAGACUCGGUGAAAUCAUAGUACCGGUGAAGAUGCCGGUUACCCGCGACAGGACGGAAAGACCCCGUGGAGCUUUACUGUAGCCUGAUAUUGAAAUUCGGUACAGUUUGUACAGGAUAGGUAGGAGCCUUAGAAGCGUGAGCGCUAGCUUACGUGGAGGCAUUGGUGGGAUACUACCCUAAUUGUAUUGGAUUUCUAACCCGCAGCACUUAUCGUGCUGGGAGACAGUGUCAGGCGGGCAGUUUGACUGGGGCGGUCGCCUCCUAAAGAGUAACGGAGGCGCUCAAAGGUUCCCUCAGAAUGGUUGGAAAUCAUUCAUAGAGUGUAAAGGCAUAAGGGAGCUUGACUGCGAGACCUACAAGUCGAGCAGGGUCGAAAGACGGACUUAGUGAUCCGGUGGUUCCGCAUGGAAGGGCCAUCGCUCAACGGAUAAAAGCUACCCCGGGGAUAACAGGCUUAUCUCCCCCAAGAGUUCACAUCGACGGGGAGGUUUGGCACCUCGAUGUCGGCUCAUCGCAUCCUGGGGCUGUAGUCGGUCCCAAGGGUUGGGCUGUUCGCCCAUUAAAGCGGUACGCGAGCUGGGUUCAGAACGUCGUGAGACAGUUCGGUCCCUAUCCGUCGUGGGCGUAGGAAAUUUGAGAGGAGCUGUCCUUAGUACGAGAGGACCGGGAUGGACAUACCUCUGGUGUACCAGUUGUCGUGCCAACGGCAUAGCUGGGUAGCUAUGUAUGGACGGGAUAAGUGCUGAAAGCAUCUAAGCAUGAAGCCCCCCUCGAGAUGAGAUUUCCCAACUUCGGUUAUAAGAUCCCUCAAAGAUGAUGAGGUGAAU